rnacentral:tRNA from 1 species
GCGGGAGUGGCGAAAUUGGUAGACGCGUUAGACUUAGAUUCUAAUAUUGUUGCAAUGUACGAGUUCAAAUCUCGUCUCCCGCA